GAUGAACGCUGGCGGCGUGCUUAACACAUGCAAGUCGAACGGAAAGGCCCAAGCUUGCUUGGGUACUCGAGUGGCGAACGGGUGAGUAACACGUGGGUGAUCUGCCCUGCACUUCGGGAUAAGCCUGGGAAACUGGGUCUAAUACCGGAUAGGACGAUGGUUUGGAUGCCAUUGUGGAAAGUUUUUUCGGUGUGGGAUGAGCUCGCGGCCUAUCAGCUUGUUGGUGGGGUAAUGGCCUACCAAGGCGUCGACGGGUAGCCGGCCUGAGAGGGUGUACGGCCACAUUGGGACUGAGAUACGGCCCAGACUCCUACGGGAGGCAGCAGUGGGGAAUAUUGAACAAUGGGCGCAAGCCUGAUGCAGCGACGCCGCGUGGGGGAUGACGGCCUUCGGGUUGUAAACUCCUUUCGCUAGGGACGAAGCGUUUUUGUGACGGUACCUGGAGAAGAAGCACCGGCUAACUACGU
rnacentral:rRNA from 1 species